GUGUAGUGUUAUAUUGUCUACUAUAUACAGGUCAGGUGUAGUGUUAUAUUGUCUACUAUAUACAGGCCAGGUGUAGUGUUAUAUUGUCUACUAUAUACAGGCCAGGUGUAGUGUUAUAUUGUCUACUAUAUACAGGCCAGGUGUAGUGUUGUAUUGUCUACUAUAUACAGGUCAGGUGUAGUGUUAUAUUGUCUACUAUAUACAGGCCAGGUGUAGUGUUGUAUUGUCUACUAUAUACAGGUCAGGUGUAGUGUUAUAUUGUCUACUAUAUACAGGCCAGGUGUAGUGUUAUAUUGUCUACUAUAUACAGGUCAGGUGUAGUGUUAUAUUGUCUACUAUAUACAGGUCAGGUGUAGUGUUAUAUUGUCUACUAUAUACAGGUCAGGUGUAGUGUUGUAUUGUCUACUAUAUACAGGCCAGGUGUAGUGUUAUAUUGUCUACUAUAUACAGGCCAGGUGUAGUGUUAUAUUGUCUACUAUAUACAGGUCAGGUGUAGUGUUAUAUUGUCUACUAUAUACAGGUCAGGUGUAGUGUUAUAUUGUCUACUAUAUACAGGUCAGGUGUAGUGUUGUAUUGUCUACUAUAUACAGGCCAGGUGUAGUGUUAUAUUGUCUACUAUAUACAGGUCAGGUGUAGUGUUAUAUUGUCUACUAUAUACAGGUCAGGUGUAGUGUUAUAUUGUCUACUAUAUACAGGUCAGGUGUAGUGUUGUAUUGUCUACUAUAUACAGGCCAGGUGUAGUGUUAUAUUGUCUACUAUAUACAGGUCAGGUGUAGUGUUAUAUUGUCUACUAUAUACAGGCCAGGUGUAGUGUUAUAUUGUCUACUAUAUACAGGCCAGGUGUAGUGUUAUAUUGUCUACUAUAUACAGGUCAGGUGUAGUGUUAUAUUGUCUACUAUAUACAGGCCAGGUGUAGUGUUGUAUUGUCUACUAUAUACAGGUCAGGUGUAGUGUUAUAUUGUCUACUAUAUACAGGCCAGGUGUAGUGUUAUAUUGUCUACUAUAUACAGGUCAGGUGUAGUGUUAUAUUGUCUACUAUAUACAGGUCAGGUGUAGUGUGUUGUA